rnacentral:rRNA from 1 species
ACUCCUACGGGAGGCAGCAGUGGGGAAUAUUGCACAAUGGGCGCAAGCCUGAUGCAGCCAUGCCGCGUGUGUGAAGAAGGCCUUCGGUUGUAAAGCACUUUCAGUCGUGAGGAAGGUAGUGUAGUUAAUAGCUGCAUUAUUUGACGUUAGCGACAGAAGAAGCACCGGCUAACUCCGUGCCAGCAGCCGCGGUAAUACGGAGGGUGCGAGCGUUAAUCGGAAUUACUGGGGCGUAAAGCGCAUGCAGGUGGUUUGUUAAGUCAGAUGUGAAAGCCCGGGGCUCAACCUCGGAAUUGCAUUUGAAACUGGCAGACUAGAGUACUGUAGAGGGGGUAGAAUUUCAGGUGUAGCGGUGAAAUGCGUAGAGAUCUGAAGGAAUACCGGUGGCGAAGGCGGCCCCCUGGACAGAUACUGACACUCAGAUGCGAAAGCGUGGGGAGCAAACAGGAUUAGAUACCCUGGUA